GAUAGCUCAGUUGGUAGAGCAUAAGCCUCUUCAUCUCAGGGUUGUGAGUUCGUGCCCCACGUUGCA